GCAGUCGUGGCCGAGUGGUUAAGGCGAUGGACUCGAAAUCCAUUGGGGUUUCCCCACACAGGUUCGAAUCCUGUCGGCUGCG
rnacentral:tRNA from 1 species